rnacentral:rRNA from 1 species
UACGUAGGGGGCAAGCGUUGUCCGGAUUUAUUGGGCGUAAAGAGCGUGUAAGCGGUUAGGUAGGUCCGUUGUGAAAACUCGAGGCUCAACCUCGAGACGCCGAUGGAAACCAUCUGACUAGAGUCCGGAAGAGGAGAGUGGAAUUCCUGGUGUAGCGGUGAAAUGCGCAGAUAUCAGGAAGAACACCCGUGGCUAAGGCGGCUCUCUAGUACGUGACUGACGCUGAGACGCGAAAGCGCGGGGAGCGAACAGG